rnacentral:rRNA from 1 species
UACGUAGGGGGCAAGCGUUGUCCGGAUUUAUUGGGCGUAAAGAGCGUGUAGGCGGUCUGGUAGGUCCGUUGUGAAAACUCGAGGCUCAACCUCGAGACGCCGAUGGAAACCAUUAGACUAGAGUCCGGAAGAGGAGAGUGGAAUUCCUGGUGUAGCGGUGAAAUGCGCAGAUAUCAGGAAGAACACCCGUGGCUAAGGCGGCUCUCUAGUACGGUACUGACGCUGAGACGCGAAAGCGUGGGGAGCGAACAGG